rnacentral:rRNA from 1 species
UACGUAGGGGGCAAGCGUUGUCCGGAUUCAUUGGGCGUAAAGAGCGUGUAGGCGGCCAGGUAGGUCGGUUGUGAAAACUGGAGGCUCAACCUUCAGAGGUCGACCGAAACCAUCUGGCUAGAGUCCGGGAGAGGAGAGUGGAAUUCCUGGUGUAGCGGUGAAAUGCGCAGAUAUAAGGAAGAACACCCGUGGCGAAAGCGGCUCUCUGGAACGGUACUGACGCUGAGACGCGAAAGCGUGGGGAGCGAACAGG